CAGUGCAGGGUCCCCACCCUCACCCAGUAUGUCCUUGUUUAUCCUGAGGGCCUCACCUGAGCCCCCAUGGACCCUAAGGCCCAGUGAUGGGUGCCAAGCUGUUCCCACUAGAGUUGUCCUCAUAUUUCCUGCUGUAGUCCAGACUAGAACAGGCAUUGGAGGCAAUGCAUGUACAUGAAGGGUUGUUGAAUUUUGUCAAAGGCCUUUUCUGCAUCUAUUGAGAUAAUCAUGUGGUUUUUGUCUUUGGUUCCGUUUAUAUGCUGGAUUACGUCUAUUGAAUGCUAAAUGACGAGUUAAUGGGUGCAGCACAUCAACAUGGCACAUGUAUACAUAUGUAACAAAUAGUUUCUUUUGCUGUGCAGAAGCUCGUUAGCUUAAUUAGGUGGCAUGAUCUCAGCUUACUGCAAUCUUUGCCUGAUACCACUCCUCUUUUCUUCUCAAGCUACCCUGGCCAGUGGCUUCCUCUCUUCAGCCUAUAAACAAGCUUAAGUCUUUCCCAUCCUGAAAAUAAAAGCAAACCCAACCCUGCUCCAAUCCUGUGUUUCCUUUGAACUA
rnacentral:lncRNA from 1 species